rnacentral:rRNA from 1 species
GACGAACGCUGGCGGCGUGCUUAACACAUGCAAGUCGAGCGGAGCGGCGAACGGGUGAGUAACGCGUGAGUAACUGCCCCCCUCUCUGGGAUAACAGUUGGAAACGGCUGCUAAUACCGGAUAGUGGGGGAUGACUCGCGUCCUAUCAGCUUGUUGGUGGGGUAGUGGCCUACCAAGGCGACGACGGGGAGCCGGCCUGAGAGGGCGACCGGCCACAUUGGGCUGAGAUACGGCCCAAACUCCGACGGGAGGCAGCAGGGGGGAAUAGUGCACAAUGGGGGAAACCCAGAUGGAGCAACGCCGCGUGCGGGAUGACGGCCUUCGGGUUGUAAAAAUCUUUUUUAUGGGAUGCAGGACCAUAAGAAUAAGGUCCGGCUAAAUACGUGCCAGCAGCCGCGGUAAUUAC